GCAUUUGCAGUCGAAUUCUAUCAACUCGUUACCAGAAAGAACAUUUGUUAAUCUAAGAAAUCUAAAUCUUCUGGAUUUGUCCUCGAACUCUUUGACUACAUUACCUGAAAUGUUGUUUGCCAACCUCUUGAAGCUACAAGAAUUGUUUUUGUCGUUUAACUUCAUUACCUUCUUACCCGAAAGAGUGUUCAUCAACCUUACAGGCCUUCAUU